UGUGUGAUGAAGGCUUUCGGGUCGUAAAGCACUGUUGUAAGGGAAGAAUAACUGAAUUCAGAGAAAGUUUUCAGCUUGACGGUACCUUACCAGAAAGGGAUGGCUAAAUACGUGCCAGCAGCCGCGGUAAUACGUAUGUCCCGAGCGUUAUCCGGAUUUAUUGGGCGUAAAGCGAGCGCAGACGGUUUAUUAAGUCUGAUGUGAAAUCCCGAGGCCCAACCUCGGAACUGCAUUGGAAACUGAUUUACUUGAGUGCGAUAGAGGCAAGUGGAACUCCAUGUGUAGCGGUGAAAUGCGUAGAUAUGUGGAAGAACACCAGUGGCGAAAGCGGCUUGCUAGAUCGUAACUGACGUUGAGGCUCGAAAGUAUGGGUAGCAAACGGGAUUAGAUACCCCGGUAGUCCAUACCGUAAACGAUGGGUGCUAGUUGUUAAGAGGUUUCCGCCUCCUAGUGACGUAGCAAACGCAUUAAGCACCCCGCCUGAGGAGUACGGCCGCAAGGCUAAAACUUAAAGGAAUUGACGGGGACCCGCACAAGCGGUGGAGCAUGUGGUUUAAUUCGAAGAUACGCGAAAAACCUUACCAGGUCUUGACAUACCAAUGAUCGCUUUUGUAAUGAAAGCUUUUCUUCGGAACAUUGGAUACAGGUGGUGCAUGGUCGUCGUCAGCUCGUGUCGUGAGAUGUUGGGUUAAGUCCCGCAACGAGCGCAACCCUUGUUAUUAGUUGCCAGCAUUUAGUUGGGCACUCUAAUGAGACUGCCGGUGAUAAACCGGAGGAAGGUGGGGACGACGUCAGAUCAUCAUGCCCCUUAUGACCUGGGCAACACACGUGCUACAAUGGGAAGUACAACGAGUCGCAAACCGGCGACGGUAAGCUAAUCUCUUAAAACUUCUCUCAGUUCGGACUGGAGUCUGCAACUCGACUCCACGAAGGCGGAAUCGCUAGUAAUCGCGAAUCAGCAUGUCGCGGUGAAUACGUUCCCGGGUCUUGUACACACCGCCCGUCAAAUCAUGGGAGUCGGAAGUACCCAAAGUCGCUUGGCUAACUUUUAGAGGCCGGUGCCU
rnacentral:rRNA from 1 species